GCAAUUGGAUUCCUUCUAUGGGGCAUCAUGGCAGCUGUCCUCCUCUGCAGUAAAAACUGGACCAUGACCCCGAACAAUGACCCAGACAAGGACAGGACCUUAAGUUGUGUCGAGUAUCAUGUUCAGCUGGGAAGAGAGCUGACCCCUCAACAAUCCCACAGUUUGGCUGCAUACAUGACAAGCAACUCUUUGAGAGGUUCAGCCUCUGGUGGACUGACAAGAAGACAAUGCAGAUAAAACCUGAAAAGGAAGCAAAGUAAAGUUUGGACACAGAAUACAAGAGAGACGACACAUUGAUCACACAUCAAACAAGAGCCAAAUGCCUCCAGAGAAUAAUA